UACGGAGGGGACUAGCGUUGUUCGGAAUUACUGGGCGUAAAGGGCGCGUAGGCGGUUCGUACAGUCAGACGUGAAAUUCCUGGGCUCAACCUGGGGGCUGCGUUUGAUACGUGCGGACUUGAGUGCGGAAGAGGGUCGUGGAAUUCCCAGUGUAGAGGUGAAAUUCGUAGAUAUUGGGAAGAACACCGGUGGCGAAGGCGGCGACCUGGUCCGAUACUGACGCUGAGGCACGAAAGCGUGGGGAGCAAACAGG
rnacentral:rRNA from 1 species